rnacentral:tRNA from 1 species
GCCUGGGUGGCUCAGUCGGUUGAGCGUCCGACUUCAGCUCAGGUCAUGAUCUCACGGUCCGUGAGUUCGAGCCCCGCGUCAGGCU